AAAAAAUUAAAUCCACGAGACUUGGGCAACUCCGAGAGUUGAUAAAAGCGCAACCCAUGGUAACAGAACAAAAAGUUGGACUGACCAUUUUAAAAUCAAAAAAUAACCAUCAAAAAAUUUAAAUUUCACUAUUUGCUUUACAUUUUUGAGUUCAGCACCCUCAAAAAUGGUCAGGUACCCAUUUUUAGCCACAUUCAUCCACUAGAUUUUAAACUAUUCAACUGCAAAAUCCAUAAUGGCGGACUUGGCAAAAAAAGAAACGUUUUAGGCUGAAUUUCUAAACGUCAUAACUUUUGAACAAUUUGGAUUUGAGUUGGUUUGUGUUGAUUUAUGAUUAGCAAUAGAAAACAUAAUACUUCAACAAAUGUUAGUUUUUUAUACAUAAAAGUUAUGAAAAAUCUCCUAUGAAAUGGUUCAUCUAAAUCUAAUUCCCUGGAGGUUGCCUGUUAAAAA